GCCAGAAAUCUUAGCCCUAUUUUAACAAAUGACACCCCAAACCAAAUAUACGAAUUAAACCAUUUUCUUUAUCUAGUAAAGGCGAUUGAAAAACCAAUUAGAGCUAUAACAAGAGUACCGCAAGGAAAAGAUGAAAUAAAUAUGAAAUAGACCCCAAAGCACAAAAAAGCAGAGACACCCCCUCGUACCUUUUGCAUCAUGAUCUAACUAGUCUAAUCAAGCAUAAAGAACUUUAGUUUGACCUCCCGAAACUAGGUGAGCUACUUCGAGGCAGCCUAAUGAGCCCACCCGUCUCUGUUGCAAAAGAGUGGGAAGACCCCCAAGUAGCGGUGACAGACCUAACGAACCUAGAGAUAGCUGGUUACUUAAGAAAAGGAUCUAAGUCCUACCUAAAACAUUAUUAAUAUUACUAAAUAUAGCUUAUGUUUUAGAGCUAUUCAAAUGAGGUACAGCCCAUUUGAAACUAGGAUACAACCUAUAACAACGGGUAAUUUCACUAAACGUCUAAACAAGUGGGCCUAAGAGCAGCCACCUUUAAAAUAGCGUCAAAGCUUUCUUAUACAGCACUUUAAUAUCACCAUCCACUAAAAACCCUUUACACAUAUUAAGUUAUUCUAUACCCCUAUAGAGAUAUUUAUGUUAGAACUAGUAAUAAGAAGAUGAACCUUCUCUCAAAUGUAAGUGUAAACCAGAAAGGACUAACCACUGUUAAUUAAACAUCAAUGAACACAAAACAGCAACCUCACUAGAAAACCCUGUUUUUAUAAAUGUUAACCUGACACUAGCACAUUUCAAGAAAGAUUAAAAGAAAAAGAAGGAACUCGGCAAAUAUUAGCCCCGCCUGUUUACCAAAAACAUCGCCUCUUGAAACUUAUAAGAGGUCCAGCCUGCCCAGUGACUAAGUUCAACGGCCGCGGUAUCCUAACCGUGCGAAGGUAGCGUAAUCACUUGUUCUUUAAAUGAGGACUAGUAUGAAUGGCACCACGAGGGUUAUACUGUCUCCUUUUUCCAAUCAAUGAAACUGAUCUCCCCGUGAAGAAGCGGGGAUAAAGCUAUAAGACGAGAAGACCCUAUGGAGCUUCAAACAACAAUAGCACUGGCCCCACCUUUUACGUCCGUAGACAUAACCAUUACUCUAGCCAGCAUGACUAUUAGUUUUAGGUUGGGGUGACCGCGGAGCAAAAAUUAACCUCCACAUUGAACGGAGCUUCUCCUGAGCUAAAAGCUACGACUUUAAGCACCAAUAAAUUGACAUUAAUUGACCCAACAUGUUGAACAACGAACCAAGUUACCCUAGGGAUAACAGCGCAAUCCAUUUCAAGAGCCCCCAUCGACAAAUGGGUUUACGACCUCGAUGUUGGAUCAGGGUACCCCAGUGGUGCAGCCGCUACUAAAGGUUCGUUUGUUCAACGAUUAAAACCCU
rnacentral:rRNA from 1 species